rnacentral:rRNA from 1 species
UACGUAGGGAGCAAGCGUUGUCCGGAAUCAUUGGGCGUAAAGCGCGCGUAGGUGGCUUCGUAAGUCCGUUGUGAAAGUCAAAGGCUCAACCUUUGAAUGCCGAUGGAUACUGCGGAGCUAGAGUACGGAAGAGGCGAGUGGAAUUCCUGGUGUAGCGGUGGAAUGCGCAGAUAUCAGGAGGAACACCAAUAGCGAAGGCAGCUCGCUGGGACGUUACUGACGCUGAGGAGCGAAAGCAUGGGGAGCGAACAGG